CCUCCUGUCCCGCAGCUGGUGGCGCUGGCCGCCCUCCUCUGCUUCGUGGCCUCGGGCGCGCACAGCGCCUACACGGCGCUGGCCGGCAUGGAGACGGCGAUCACCGCCCUGUUCCUGCUGAUCUACCUGCUGAGGCUCGACGCGCGGAUGCGCUGCCUCUUUUGGCCGCUGGCUGAUAUUUUCAACUCGGUGAUUGCAGCGUUGUUCCUCCUCGUUGUGUGCUUGUUUGCAAUAAUAAUCAAGACCAACAAGGGGACAUUGGCUGGAGGAGUGUUGGGUCUUAUGUUGCUUGUUCUCUGCAUUGUCGACGUGGUUCUUCUUUACAAGAAGAUUAGUCUUGAUAAAGCAAGAGGAAGGAGUGCUCCUGCCAAAUAAGAAUGACACGUUAGUGAAAGAAUGAGUUCUCCAUUCUGUUUUUCCACUCUCUUUUAAAGCAUUUGUAUUUUUGUGUGCUCAAUUUUGAAUUUCCUGUGCACUGAUGUUUCUGCAAGUAUCAUUCAUAAGGUUUUGUACUUUUCCAAAUGCAGUUUGAGCAUUGCGAUUUCACCAGUUAAAGCUUCAGUGAAAAUUGUCAUGUUUUUCUAAAAUUACUUCUGUUUUUACUGUUAGAAAAAUUAUUGUCAUGGUUGUCUUCUUUCUUUAAUAAAAAGAAAAUACAAACGGGCUUAAGUGCA
ensembl:lncRNA